rnacentral:lncRNA from 1 species
UGAGAGGGGGGUGUUGUUGGAAAUAUGCCCUAGAAGCAAUGAUAAAAUAGUCAUUAUUAUAUUUCCUGUUUCAAGAUAAUCGUUUAUUAUCCAUGCUAUAAUUGUAUUGAAUGAAAGCAUAGAUACAUGUGUGGAUAUAUAGACAAAAGAAUGUCCCUAAUAAGCCUCUAGUUGACUAGCCAGUUGAUCAAGGAUGGUUAAGGUUUUCUGACCAUAUGCAAGUGUUGUCACUUGAU